UACGUAGGCAGCGAGCGUUGUUCGGAGUUACUGGGCGUAAAGAGUGCGUAGGCGGUGGCCUAAGUCUGGUGUGAAAUCUCCCGGCUCAACUGGGAGGGUGCGCCGGAAACUGGGUUGCUGGAGUAUGGGAGAGGCAAGCGGAAUUCCUGGUGUAGCGGUGAAAUGCGUAGAUAUCAGGAGGAACACCUGCGGUGUAGACGGCUUGCUGGACCAUGACUGACGCUGAGGCGCGAAAGCGUGGGGAGCGAACCGG
rnacentral:rRNA from 1 species